UACGGGGGGGGCAAGCGUUGUUCGGAAUUACUGGGCGUAAAGGGUUUGUAGGUGGCUUGCUAAGUCAGACGUGAAAUCCCUCAGCUUAACUGGGGAACUGCGUCUGAUACUGGAUGGCUUGAGUGUGGGAGAGGGAUGCGGAAUUCCAGGUGUAGCGGUGAAAUGCGUAGAUAUCUGGAGGAACACCGGUGGCGAAGGCGGCAUCCUGGACCAUUACUGACACUGAAACGCGAAAGCCAGGGGAGCAAACGGG
rnacentral:rRNA from 1 species